rnacentral:rRNA from 1 species
AGCAGCCGCGGUAAUUCCAGCUCCAAUAGCGUAUAUUAAAGUUGUUGCAGUUAAAAAGCUCGUAGUUGAAUUUUGGAUCUGACCGAACGGUCCACUUUUGUGAGUACUGUUUGUGUCGGGUCUAUCCUUCUGGUGAGCUGGUAUGCCCUUUAUUGGGUGUGUCAGGGAACCAGGACCAUUACCUUGAAAAAAUUUAGAGUGUUUAAAGCGGGACAUAAGCUUAGAAUAGAUUAGCAUGGAAUAAUAGAAUAGGACGUUGUGGUUCUAUUUUGUUGGUUUCUAGGACCACCGUAAUGAUUAAUAGGGAUAGUUGGGGGCAUUAGUAUUCAAUUGUCAGAGGUGAAAUUCUUGGAUUUAUUGAAGACUAACUACUGCGAAAGCAUUUGCCAAGGAUGUUUUCAUUAAUCAAGAACGAAAGUUAGGGGAUCGAAGACGAUCAGAUACCGUCGUAGUCUUAAACCAUAAACUAUGCCGACUAGGAAAUCGGGACGAAGUUAUUUAAUGUACUCGCUCGGCGCCU